rnacentral:rRNA from 1 species
UACGUAGGGGGCAAGCGUUGUCCGGAUUUAUUGGGCGUAAAGAGCGUGUAGGCGGCCAUGCAGGUCCGUUGUGAAAACUCGAGGCUCAACCUCGAGACGUCGAUGGAAACCGCAUGGCUAGAGUCCGGAAGAGGAGAGUGGAAUUCCUGGUGUAGCGGUGAAAUGACGCAGAUAUCGGGAGGAACACCAAUGGCGAAGGCAGCUUGCUGGGACGGUACUGACGCUGAGACGCGAAAGCGUGGGGAGCAAACAGG